rnacentral:lncRNA from 1 species
GUCUCAUCAGCUUAACUCACCCAUCUUCCUUCAUACUCAAUUAAUUUUGGUUUUCUCUCCAUCUUUAAGAGACCACAGCUUCCCUACGAGGAAGUGGUACCACCGGAGCAGGAAUAAAAUCAGGCACAGCUGCAGUUCCCUCUGGUACAACAGUUGCCCCUGGGAGCUCCAACUCAGGUAAAGCACCAGGCUAGGAGGAACCACUGCUUUGGAAGGGCUCCUCAGUGAGUUGUCUGCCUGGGUGAUCUUACCAUACUCUUCUCAGAUUCUUCAAAUCUUUGUCCUCACUGUUAUUCCUCUUCUCUCAUUUGCAGAAGCUACAACUUCUGUAGGAGAAAAUGGAAAAACAAGUGGCGAAAUAAUCACAGGUACUACUGAGGGCACCUCUGGCAAAGUUCUGGAACCUGGAAGUGCUCACACAGAGGCCACAACUUUCCCAGGAGGCAGCGGGACCACCCGAGCAGAACCACCAGGAGGUACCACUGGAGAAUUGUCUGGAACGACCAUUAUAUCUGGAAGUUCUAACACAGAGGCCACAACUUCCAUUGAAGAGACUGGUACUUCUGGAACUGGAUUCAAAACCGCAGGCAUCACUGCAGCACCAGGAAAGCAAGCAGGCACCUCUGGGGUGGCACCUGGCACAACAGUUGCUCCUGGAAGUUUCAGCACAGCAGCUACAACUUCUCCUGGAGCAAGCAGAGUGACUGGCACUGGACCCACUGCAGAGACCACAAUUUUCCUAGAAGGAAGUGGCACCACUGGAGCAGAAAUAAAAUCAGGUGAAGAUUAUGGGGGUUUCAUUAUUUACUGUUGUAUUUUGAUAAAUUUGUUAGAGGAAACAUU